rnacentral:ribozyme from 1 species
GCCACCACUCCUCCAACAAUACGAGCGGACUCUGGUCCCCCUAUCAAUGUCAAUGAUGUUUUAGCUUUUGACG